CAGUUCUUUAAAGAUACAAACUGGUUAGCAAUUCCCUUGACAAGGAUAGAAGAAGUCCUAGUGGCCUGUACAAUAUAGUUAUGUUAAGGCAUUUGCCACUUACUUUGUGGUACCUAACCAAGAU